rnacentral:rRNA from 1 species
UACGGAGGGUGCAAGCGUUAUCCGGAUUCACUGGGCUUAAAGGGUGCGUAGGCGGGCAGGUAAGUCCGUGGUGAAAUCUCUGAGCUUAACUCAGAAACUGCCAUGGAUACUAUUUGUCUUGAAUAUUGUGGAGGUAAGCGGAAUAUGUCAUGUAGCGGUGAAAUGCUUAGAUAUGACAUAGAACACCAAUUGCGAAGGCAGCUUACUACACAGUAAUUGACGCUGAGGCACGAAAGCGUGGGGAUCAAACAGG